rnacentral:lncRNA from 1 species
GAAGAAUGGCGAUAGCAGUUUUGUAUCUGGUGACGUUAAUGCAACUAUUUAUGAUACAGAGAACUUCAAUGAGAGCGAUGACUUAUAACAUUCUCAAUGUCGGGGAAACACUUAGAAGAUCGUAAAAAGAAGAGUUCUGCCAGUAUAAACUGUGCUGUUUCAUGUUGAAGCAACCCAUCAAAGCAAGAUAUUUGAGAUAAGAAUAAAUAAGAAUUUUGGCUUAGAGUCAACUUUUUAACACCACUUUAAACAAAUGGAAAAUAAACAGACAUGUUUUCACAGACAUUUCAAAACGAAGUUCCAAUUAAUCUAA